CCUACGGGUGGCAGCAGUGAGGAAUAUUGGUCAAUGGACGCGAGCCUGAACCAGCCAAGUAGCGUGAAGGAUGACUGCCCUACGGGUUGUAAACUUCUUUUAUAAAGGAAUAAAGUGAGGCACGUGUGCCUUUUUGUAUGUACUUUAUGAAUAAGGAUCGGCUAACUCCGUGCCAGCAGCCGCGGUAAUACGGAGGAUCCGAGCGUUAUCCGGAUUUAUUGGGUUUAAAGGGAGCGUAGAUGGGUUGUUAAGUCAGUUGUGAAAGUUUGCGGCUAAACCGUAAAAUUGCAAUGGAUACUGGCGUCCUGGAGUAAAGUGAGGUUAGGGGGAUGUGGGGUGUAGCGGUGAAAUGCUUAGAUAUCACGAAGAACUCCGAUUGCGAAGGCAGCUUACUAAACUGCCACUGACAUUGAUGCUCGAAAGUGUGGGUAUCAAACAGGAUUAGAUACCCGAGUAGUC
rnacentral:rRNA from 1 species